AUUCGUUCUCUCAAGCCUCCUGAGUGGCCGGAUCUCCACCCUGAAGGGAUGAAACGGGAGCGAUCUUCAUCGACCGAGACCCCACCGUCUUUGCACCCAUUCUCAACUUCCUGCGAACCAAGGAGCUCGACCCCAGGGGCGUCAACAUCUCCCUGCUGCUGCAUGAAGCUGAGUUCUAUGGGAUCACCCCGCUGGUGCGUCGCCUGCAGCUGCGUGAGGAGCUUGACCGCUCGGCCUGCGGGAGCGUCCUCUUCAAUGGCUACCUGCCCCCCCCAGGUGGGUGCUGCGCCCCGGGUAGAGUGACGGAGGGGCGGAGACUCGCUGG